CCCAUCGAGGGGCGCUGCGACCGUGCACAGAGACGGCCAGGCUCGAUGGACGCUUCCCGUUCCAACGGCGCCCGGAUGGC
rnacentral:ncRNA from 2 species